rnacentral:rRNA from 1 species
AAUGAACGUUGGCGGCGUGGAUUAGGCAUGCAAGUCGAGCGGUAAGGCCCCUUCGGGGGUACACGAGCGGCGCAAGGGAGAGUAACGCGUGGAUACCUGCCCCUGGGUCCGGAAUAGCUGUGGGAAACUGCAGGUAAUGCCGGAUGAUGUCCCCGGACCAAAGGUGUGAUUCCGCCCGGGAGGGGUCCGCGUCCUAUUAGCUUGUUGGUGGGGUAACGGCCUACCAAGGCGAUGAUGGGUACCGGGUGUGAGAGCAUGGCCCGGCUCACUGGGACUGAGACACUGCCCAGACACCUACGGGUGGCUGCAGUCGAGAAUCUUCGGCAAUGGGCGCAAGCCUGACCGAGCGACGCCGCGUGCGGGAUGAAGGCCUUCGGGUUGUAAACCGCUGUCAGAGGGGAGGAAAUCUACGGGGGCUAUCCCCCGCAGUUGACCUAGCCUCAGAGGAAGGACGGGCUAAGUUCGUG